GGAAUAUAAACUUGAAAAGGACGCUUCUCAAUGGUGUGACACAUGUGGCAACUGUGCUACAAUGCUGACUGAAGUGGAAAACAUGCUGUCAAGAAACCCCCAAAGUGUCUGCAAGAAUGGAAAAGUCCCCAGCCAACCCACAUGCACGGAGGACCAUCCAGGACUUGAGCCUGUAUGUUUUAAUAUAUACUUCCUUCAAAAUGCCAUUAACGUGUACAAAGCACUGUGUGGACCAUUAUAGUUGAGGGGAGUGGUGCAGUAAGUUGAUUUUUUGAUUAU